UACGGGGGGGGCAAGCGUUGUUCGGAAUUACUGGGCGUAAAGGGCUCGUAGGUGGCCAACUAAGUCAUACGUGAAAUCCCUCGGCUUAACCGGGGAACUGCGUCUGAUACUGGAUGGCUUGAGGUUGGGAGAGGGAUGCGGAAUUCCAGGUGUAGCGGUGAAAUGCGUAGAUAUCUGGAGGAACACCGGUGGCGAAGGCGGCAUCCUGGACCGGUAUUGACGCUGAGGAGCGAAAGCCAGGGGAGCAAACGGG
rnacentral:rRNA from 1 species